AAAAAAGUAGUGAAGCGUGUGAGCCAUGUGCCGAGAAAAGCUGCUAUUGUGUAAUGCGUGCCCGUACCGUAAACCGACACAGGUGGAUGAGGAGAGAAUCCUAAGGCCGACGGAAGAAGCAUUGUUAAGGAAUUCGGCAAAAUGACCCCGUAACUUCGGGAGAAGGGGUGCCUGCGAGAGCAGGCCGCAGAGAAUAGGCUCAAGCAACUGUUUAGCAAAAACACAGGUCUAUGCGAAACCGAAAGGUGAAGUAUAUGGGCUGACGCCUGCCCGGUGCUGGAAGGUUAAGAGGAGAGGUUAGCGAAAGCGAAGCUUUGAAUUUAAGCCCCAGUAAACGGCGGCCGUAACAAUAACGGUCCUAAGGUAGCGAAAUUCCUUGUCGGGUAAGUUCCGACCCGCACGAAAGGCGUAAUGAUUUGAGCACUGUCUCGACAAUGCAUCCGGUGAAAUUGAAGUACCAGUGAAGAUGCUGGUUACCCGCGCCAGGACGGAAAGACCCCAUGGAGCUUUACUCCAGUUUGAUACUGGGAUUCGGUACUGCAUGUACAGGAUAGGUGGGAGACGAAGAAGGAUGGACGCCAGUCUGUCCGGAGUCGCUGUUGGGAUACCACCCCUGUAGUACUGGGUUUCUAACCAGUUACCAUGAUCUGGUAAUGGGACAAUGUCAGGCGGGGAGUUUGACUGGGGCGGUCGCCUCCGAAAGGGUAUCGGAGGCGCUCAAAGGUUCCCUCAGAAUGGUUGGAAACCAUUUGAAGAGUGCAAAGGCAGAAGGGAGCUUGACUGCGACACCGACGGGUGGAGCAGGUACGAAAGUAGGACUUAGCGAUCCGGUGGUAUAAAGUGGGAUUGCCAUCGCUCAACGGAUAAAAGCUACCCUGGGAUAACAGGCUUAUCACUCCCAAGAGUUCACAUCGACGGAGUGGUUUGGCACCUCGAUGUCGGCUCAUCGCAUCCUGGGGCUGUAGCAGGUCCCAAGGGUUGGGCUGUUCGCCCAUUAAAGCGGUACGCGAGCUGGGUUCAGAACGUCGUGAGACAGUUCGGUCCCUAUCCGGCGCGGGCGGAGGAUAUUUGAGAGGAGCUGUCCUUAGUACGAGAGGACCGGGAUGGACGGACCACUGGUGUAUCUGUUGUCGACCAACGGCAUGGCAGAGUAGCCAAGUCUGGAAGGGGUAAACGCUGAAGGCAUCUAAGCGUGAAGCCCCCCUCAAGAUGAGAUAUCCCUCCUUCGGGAGUAAGACCCCUUGAAGACUACAAGGUUGAUAGGGCAGAGGUGGAAGCAUGGCAACAUGUGGAGCUGACUGUUACUAAUAGGUCGAGGGCUUAGUAAG
rnacentral:rRNA from 1 species